AUCACACACAUGCAUGACAUGUGUCGUGUGUCAUCAUGGAAGCGAAACUGCGUGGUUCAAUGCUGUUGUUUGUUUAUUGAAAACCGGCUGUUAGAUUGCUGGAAACUUUAUAAUCAUGUGAAGGUUUCCCUAACGUAAUCGGUGCUUUGGACUGCACACAGGUAAAGAUUCAAGCCCCAUCUCAAUUUGAGGAUGUUUAUGUCUGUCGCAAAUCCAUUCACAGCAUCAAUGUUCAGAUGAUAUGUGAUGCUGAUCGCAUUGCCACAAACCUUGUAGCCAAAUGGCCGGGAAGUGUUCACGACAGUCGAAUAUUCAAGGUGUCGUCCAUUG